UCCACUGACGCCAACGCAGGCCUGCCAAGAGCCUCAUUAGUAUUCACAGCGGUGGCAUUUGCCAGCCAGAGCGUUGCCGUGGUGAUGCUGCCCACACAAGUGAUGAUAAAUGGCAGCUUUCGGCUUCUACACAGAGCGGAGUAGGUAGCCGAGGAGAUGCUGGCCUGUACCCAACGGCUAGCAAGGCCUCAUCCCGAAGCCGGGCAACCGACGCAACACCAGCUUAGGGCUGCUUGAAGGCUUUGGGUGCUGGAGAGUGGAGGGAGCGCUGGAGGUGGCUGAUCCAUCGGCGGUCUCGUUUUGUCCCCCCCUGUAACGUAUGUCUGCUCUUAGCGGGACUGUGCCGAAAAUGUAAUUUCAGUUCUGAUGUGUCUUGUACAUGUUGGAAUGGACAAUUAAAGGAUUUCUUUCUUUC